rnacentral:rRNA from 1 species
UACAGAGGGGGCAAGCGUUGUUCGGAAUCACUGGGCGUAAAGGGCGUGUAGGCGGUUCGGUAAGUGGAAUGUGAAAUCCCUCGGCUCACCCGAGGACCUGCAUUCCAAACUACCGAGCUUGAGUAUGGGAGAGGAAGGUGGAAUGCUUGGUGUAGAGGUGAAAUUCGUAGAUAUCAAGCGGAACACCGGUGGCGAAGGCGGCCUUCUGGACAGUGACUGACGCUGAGACGCGAAAGCGUGGGGAGCAAACAGG